CCUACGGGAGGCAGCAGUGGGGAAUAUUGCACAAUGGGGGAAACCCUGAUGCAGCGACGCCGCGUGAGUGAAGAAGUAUCUCGGUAUGUAAAGCUCUAUCAGCAGGGAAGAAAAUGACGGUACCUGAUUAAGAAGCCCCGGCUAACUACGUGCCAGCAGCCGCGGUAAUACGUAGGGGGCAAGCGUUAUCCGGAUUUACUGGGUGUAAAGGGAGCGUAGACGGCAGCACAAGUCUGGAGUGAAAUGCCGGGGCUUAACCCCGGAACUGCUUUGGAAACUGUGCAGCUGGAGUGCAGGAGAGGUAAGUGGAAUUCCUAGUGUAGCGGUGAAAUGCGUAGAUAUUAGGAGGAACACCAGUGGCGAAGGCGGCUUACUGGACUGUAACUGACGUUGAGGCUCGAAAGCGUGGGGAGCAAACAGGAUUAGAUACCCUAGUAGUC
rnacentral:rRNA from 1 species